AAGGGUGUAGCUCAGUGAUAGAGCACUUGCGUAGCAUGCACAAGGCUUGGGCUCAAUUCCCAACAUUUAAA
rnacentral:tRNA from 1 species